UGGGGAAUUUUGGACAAUGGGCGAAAGCCUGAUCCAGCAAUGCCGCGUGUGUGAAGAAGGCCUUCGGGUUGUAAAGCACUUUUGUCCGGAAAGAAAUCCUUGGCUCUAAUACAGUCGGGGGAUGACGGUACCGGAAGAAUAAGCACCGGCUAACUACGUGCCAGCAGCCGCGGUAAUACGUAGGGUGCAAGCGUUAAUCGGAAUUACUGGGCGUAAAGCGUGCGCAGGCGGUCUGCUAAGACCGAUGUGAAAUCCCCGGGCUCAACCUGGGAACUGCAUUGGUGACUGGCAGGCUAGAGUAUGGCAGAGGGGGGUAGAAUUCCACGUGUAGCAGUGAAAUGCGUAGAGAUGUGGAGGAAUACCGAUGGCGAAGGCAGCCCCCUGGGCCAAUACUGACGCUCAUGCACGAAAGCGUGGGGAGCAAACAGGAUUAGAUACCCUGGUAGUCCACGCCCUAAACGAUGUCAACUAGUUGUUGGGGAUUCAUUUCCUUAGUAACGUAGCUAACGCGUGAAGUUGACCGCCUGGGGAGUACGGUCGCAAGAUUAAAACUCAAAUGAA
rnacentral:rRNA from 1 species